rnacentral:lncRNA from 1 species
AAUCACUGUGACCAGCCAAGAAUAAUCAACACCAGUACCACAUCCGUACACCUACAAUGGUAGAAGACUUAAUAUUUAUGGAAAGAUUUAGGUUUAGGUCUCAUCUAAUUAGUCAUCAUAUGAUCGAUGUAAUUGACAUGGGCUAAACCAAACCACCAGAUAAUCUUAUUCAAGACUCAAUCUUUCAAAUUGACCAAGUGAAGUUCAAUGGAG